rnacentral:sRNA from 3 species
UAUCUGCGAUAUGGAAGAUUCGAACCUGCCGCAGGUUCGGGUCUCACGUAGUGAGACAACGGAGCCGCUUGCGGCGACGGCCCGAAGGGCGAGCAAAGCGAGUCAUCCUGCACGACCCACCA